CAUCAACAACAUCUUCAUCAACAUCAUCAUCAUCAACACAUCAUCAUUAGCCAACAAUUUUAUUUUUAUUUUUUCCUUCACCUUCAGAUCUAGAAAAGAAAAAAAAGAAAAAAAAUAGAAGCCCCGGCUUUGGAAGCACCGAAGAUUGUGUCUAUACCUUCAAAUGGAGGACUGUUGUAGCACUAAGGGCAUAAAGGGAAUGUCUUGCCUUCUGGGUCAAGCAAGGAGAAGGGCAGAAGCUCAAAGUUGUCCAAGGGUUGUUGCCUCUCUCUCUCUUUCCAUCUGUCUUCUCUCUUCCUCUCUCUCUCUCUCUCUUGCCCUCUCUUUGUUUCAGAUAUAAACGAGAAAAAAAAAACUGCCCAAAAAGACGUCGUUUUGGGCAGUUGAGCCAUUCGGGCCACUUAUUUUUCGACUACCAAUCUUGUUCCUAAUUUAUCCUUUUGCCGACCAAAUUUGGCGACUGAAAGAAAUUUAGUCACCAAAAGUGCAGUUUUUGGCAAAUAAAACUGAUAUUGGUUGGCAUUGGUUUAGGAUUUACCUACUAAACUAUUUUAGUCAUGGUAUAUUAUUUAUUAGCGACUAAAAAAAAUUAGUGGCUAAAUAUUCCACAAUAGGUGACUAAAAAAAUAUUGGUCGCCGCUAGUCUAGUUUUUAGGUUACUAAAGUUUGUUUUAGUCAUAGUAUACUAAUUUUUGCCAACUGAAAUAAAUUUAAUCGCCAAAUAAUAGCCAUAAUUUUACUGUGACUCUUUGACGACAAAAACUUUAGUCAACAAAUAUGCAAUUUUGGUGACUAAAAAAUAAUUAGUCACCAAAUAAUCCAACUUAUGGCGACUAAAAAACAUUUCAGUCACUAAAAGGUUUAUAAAAUUUUAGUGGGAAAAUAUUAAUGAGAUUGGCACCCAAAUUUUACAUCCUUCUGUUUAGGAAUGCAAACAGUUCUUCUCUCUCUCUCUCUCUCUCUCUCUCUCUCACUCACACACGCACACACACACGGAAUCAGUCACCACAAAACCUCACCUCACCGCAGUCGCUCACGAAUGUCGCAAAUCACCAGCGCCGCAAUAUAAACAGGUACCCUUCAUUUAUGUCACGGACUUCUAAUUUAAGAGUGCUCUUGGCUGGAUUAUGUAGUCUUUUGUCAUUAAUAUAAACUGCGAUCAGUUUCGUCUCCAUCUCAAAGUGGGCCCACUUGGACCAUCAGUCAGCUUACAUGGCACACCUCCACUCUUUGACUUGGUAGCGUGGUUUAAUUUAUUUUUUUUUCAUGACGAGAAACAUGCAAAAAAUGCUCCAAAAAAAGGCAUUAAUGGUAUGGCCAUGGGUGUCACAUGAUGAUUAUGAUUCAUGUCUGACCAUCCCAAUGAUGGACGAUUUUUAUAAAAGUUACAAUAUCUGAACGUUGGCAUUAAAAGUUGUAUAAAUUUCUUGUGAGAUUCUUACAUCGUUCUUUAAUAAGCUCAUUGCUUUCCAUACAUUGGAUUCUUAGUUGUCAGCUAUCCUAAAGUGUGUUUGUGUCUGUGCGCGCGCGCGCAUGUGCUUCUUUGGAUGUUUUCCUCACUGCUCUGUUGCCAAUAUAUAUUUUUGAAAUGGGCAUCGUUGUAUAUACUCUUUCAGGAUGGUUUAUAAUUUCUGACUUCAAAUUUGGCUCGUAGGCAAUUCAAGACUCAAGAAAAUAAGAUACAGAUGAGAAGGCUUCGGCAUAUGAAUUGACAUAUUCAAUUUGCUUGGAGCAAGUUAACUAGGAAGCCUGCUAUGUUUGCAUCAAGUUUCUCUUCUCGCUUCAUACCUAUUUAACAAUUUCCCAUUAGUGCAUGUAACAUGAUGAUUCUAAUCUUUUGAUCUUCAUAUGCAGUGAACAUAUGCUCAGUUCAAUCAAUAUUUAAGUACUUUGGUGAAUUUCCAAAUUAUUAAUGUUGAUUUUAUUUAUUAAUAGUACUUUGGUUCUACGUGCUGCAUAAUCCCAUCUAGGCAGACCUCAGUCUACUGUUCUCCAACUUGCAUGAGUACAAGAAACAAAGAAAAUGCAGCAAACCUUUGCACCUAUUUGAACAUUACUGGAGUUUUUGUGACUUACAAGUUUUUGAACUUUUUUAUUUUUUGGCAAUUGUAAAUUUCCAUAUUGUUCUGCAUACUAAUGUAGUUACCAUCUGUGUAGAUUUCAAUAUACUCUAUGCUCUGUUACAUCCUAACUUGCAUCAAUGUAGAAAGAUCUAAUCGGAUCAAAGCUUUGCUUCCCAAAAUUUCAAAAAAGUUAGUCUCAUCAUAGUAAAUUGAACUUGUUAAAUAAUUCGUUAGAAUCUAGAUAUGCUUGUCUUUGAUUACUCAGUUGCUGUUGUCUUUUGCAGUUCCAAGCCAACCUCAGGGAUCCAUCGCCAUGCAUGAUGCUGCUGGUUGGAUCAGCGUGAUGGACCAUUUGCAACAAUUAUGUGGAUGACCAUAACCUGUUGCAAAAGAUCAAAGAUGAUGAUUUUCUGUAGGUCAACACCACUUUUGGAUUGACAAAGAUACUUUUACCAUAAUUAUUUUCUUAGAGAAGUAGCACCCCAGCAAUAAUCACUUGUAUCAGUCUGAAGAACUUGUAUCAACUAGGCAUGACUUAGAAGGCUCUUGGGUGGCAAGGGAGAUUUUAGGUGAGGGUGUGGGACGAGUCUUCCCAGUAUGGAACACCGAUGACGCAAGAGGAAAUAUCAAGAUAGGUGCUUGGGAAGAAGGGAUAUUUAAGAGGAUUUGGGGUCAAUCCAAAACUAUCUUCCUCCGAUUAUGGAUCAAAUGCUGCAGCACAACGAGAUGUGGAGAUGCAAAGGCUUUAGAUCCGAGGUGGAGAUUACUUUUGGCAUGAAACAUAUGGCAUGGUAUAGAUUACUAGUGGAUAUUUCAUUUUUGUGUACGGAGGACAUGGUUUUUGUAUGAUUCCCUGCUUGUAUGGAAUUUGACGUUAAAUGACCAAAUUUUUGGAUGGUUGAAAGUGAAA